UACGUAGGGUGCAAGCGUUGUCCGGAAUUAUUGGGCGUAAAGGGCUCGUAGGCGGUCCAUCACGUCGGGAGUGAAAAGCUGGGGCUUAACCCCAGUCCUGCUUCCGAUACGGGUGGACUAGAGGUAGGCAGGGGAGAACGGAAUUCCUGGUGUAGCGGUGAAAUGCGCAGAUAUCAGGAGGAACACCGGUGGCGAAGGCGGUUCUCUGGGCCGAUACUGACGCUGAGGAGCGAAAGCGUGGGGAGCGAACAGG
rnacentral:rRNA from 1 species